UAAUGGAACAGUAUCUUUACCUGAAUACAUAGGGUAUAGAAGGCAUACCCGGGGAACUGAAACAUCUAAGUACCCGGAGGAAGAGAAAGCAAACGCGAUUCCCUGAGUAGCGGCGAGCGAAACGGGAUAUAGCCCAAACCAAGAGGCUUGCCUCUUGGGGUUGUAGGACACUCAACAUGGAGUUACAAAGGAACGGGGUAAAUGAAGCGACCUGGAAAGGUCAGCCAGAGAAGGUAAAAGCCCUGUAGUUGAAAC
rnacentral:rRNA from 1 species